UACGUAGGGGGCCAGCGUUGCUCGGAAUUACUGGGCGUAAAGGGUUCGUAGGCGGUGCGGCAAGUUGGGGGUGAAAUCUCUGGGCUUAACUCAGGGGCUGCUUUCAAAACUGCCGCGCUCGAGUGCGAGAGAGGUCAGUGGAAUUGCAGGUGUAGCGGUGAAAUGCGUAGAUAUCUGCAGGAACACCCGUGGCGAAGGCGGCUGACUGGAUCGCAACUGACGCUGAGGAACGAAAGCUAGGGGAGCAAACAGG
rnacentral:rRNA from 1 species